CAAUAGCGUAUAUUAAAGUUGUUGCAGUUAGAACGCUCGUAGUCGGAUUUCGGGGCGGGCCGACCGGUCUGCCGAUGGGUAUGCACUGGUCGGCGCGUCCUUCCUUCCGGAGACCGUCCCUACUCUUAACUGAGCGGGGGCGGGAGACGGGACUUUUACUUUGAAAAAAUCAGAGUGUUUCGAGCAGGCAGCUCGCUCUUGCAUGGAUUAGCAUGGGAUAAUGAAAUAGGACUUUGGUGCUAUUUUGUUGGUUUCGAACACCGAAGUAAUGAUGAGAAGGGACAGUCAGGGGCACUCGUAUUCCGCCGAGAGAGGUGAAAUUCUCAGACCAGCGGAAGACGAACCACUGCGAAAGCAUUUGCCAGGGAUGUUUNCACUG
rnacentral:rRNA from 1 species